GAUGACUGCGUUUUGCAGUG
rnacentral:snRNA from 1 species